rnacentral:rRNA from 1 species
UACAGAGGGCGCGAGCGUUGUCCGGAAUCACUGGGCGUAAAGGGCGCGUAGGUGGCGGCAUAAGGCUGUGGUGAAAGUCCGGGGCUCAACCCCGGAUCGGCCGCGGCGACUGUGUUGCUUGGGUACCGUAGAGGCAGAUGGAAUUCCGGGUGUAGCGGUGGAAUGCGUAGAGAUCAGGAGGAACACCCUGGCGAAGGCGGCCCUCUGGCUCGACCCUGACGCUGAGGCGCGAAAGCUAGGGGAGCGAACGG